rnacentral:rRNA from 1 species
UACGUAGGGUGCGAGCGUUAAUCGGAAUUACUGGGCGUAAAGCGUGCGCAGGCGGUUUUGUAAGCCAGAUGUGAAAUCCCCGGGCUUUAACCUGGGAAUGGCAUUUGGGACUGCAAGGCUGGAGUGUGGCAGAGGAGACUGGAAUUCCUGGUGUAGCAGUGAAAUGCGUAGAUAUCAGGAGGAAUACCGAUGGCGAAGGCAGGUCUCUGGGCAUUAACUGACGCUGAGGAGCGAAAGCAUGGGGAGCGAACAGG